rnacentral:rRNA from 1 species
CAGCCAUGCCCCGUGAGUGAAGAAGGCCUUCGGGUUGUAAAGCUCUUUCGGCCGGGAAGAAAUCGCAUGGGUAAUACCCUGUGUGGAUGACGAUACCGGAACAAGAAGCACCGGCUAACUACGUGCCAGCAGCCGCGGUAAUACGUAGGGUGCGAGCGUUAAUCGGAAUUACUGGGCGUAAAGCGUGCGCAGGCGGUUUGGUAAGACAGGCGUGAAAUCCCCGGGCUUAACCUGGGAACUGCGCUUGUGACUGCCAGGCUAGAGUACGGCAGAGGGGGGUGGAAUUCCACGUGUAGCAGUGAAAUGCGUAGAGAUGUGGAGGAACACCNAUGGCGAAGGCAGCCCCCUGGGCCGAUACUGACGCUCAUGCACGAAAGCGUGGGUAGCAAACAGGAUUAGAUACCCUGGUAGUCCACGCCCUAAACGAUGUCAACUAGGUGUUGGGUGGGUAAAACCAUUUAGUACCGUAGCUAACGCGUGAAGUUGACCGCCUGGGGAGUACGGCCGCAAGGUUAAAACUCAAAGGAAUUGACGG